GCCCCAAAUUAUCUCCCCUAAAACUACCAGCCCCAAAUUAACCUUAGCAAACCCUUCAGCGAUAACUCCCUAAGAACACCCACCGUCUCCUCCCACCGUCUCCACUGUGAACCGCUUCCGAUCUGCAAUUUCAUCUAUCAGAUGAAUACAGAUGAAUACUGAAAUCUCAUUGGACAGAGGUAUCUAUGCUGCUUCUUGAUGUGGACUUUUGAUUGUUAAUGGAGGUUGAUGAUGAGGAUCUUGAAGACCAUUCACUUAUGGAACUUGCAGGUUAUAUGCUUGAAGAAAGGUUUAAAUUAACAGGUCAUCGGAGUAGGGCUACAAAAGAGAAACAAUACUGUGACAGCCACCUGGCACCUUUCUACAGAAUCGAGUUUGUGACGAGAGGAGGGAUUAUGUUAAGGGGAGAUUUGGUUGGAUCUAAGUACAUUCAUAGGAGGUUGAAUGAGUGGUGAAUGUUGUACGGGGUUCUUCAAGCCGUGCAACUAUUUGGCUCAGAGAGCUGCACAUGGGCUCCUUUGAGCGGACUCGAUUUACUAAGGGUAAUGUUUUGGCCUUUCGAAGGAUAUGCAUCUUCAAAUGGACUCGACUAUCUUUAAAAGAAUACAGGACGGUCAUCGUAUACGAUUGUGGAUCAUAGAUAUCGCAAGAAGUAUAAAAGUGUUGAUUUGAAGCCUAUCAAGAAUUGGCUUAGACAGAUCCUUUACGAGGAGUAGGUGCUUGAUGUCAAGCGGAUGAAUGGCCUUACAACUGAUCCACAAAUGCUUGAUGUCGCUUCAGAUAACGUCAGAAGGGAGGCAUCCACCAUCUCCCAUAAUGUCAGUGAAACAAGUUAUUUCUUCUCUUUAUUUAGUUGAUUAUUUUGAAUGGGU